AGUAACAUCCGGAAACGGGUGGCUAAUACCGCAUAGUUUUCUUUGAUCGCAUGAUCGGGAAAGAAAAGAACGGCCUUUGUGCUGUCGCUUAUGGAUGGACCCGCGGCGUAUUAGUAGUUGGUGAGGUAACGGCUCACCAAGACGAUGAUACGUAGCCGACCUGAGAGGGUGAUCGGCCACAUUGGGACUGAGACACGGCCCAAACUCCUACGGGAGGCAGCAGUAGGGAAUCUUCCGCAAUGGACGAAAGUCUGACGGAGCAACGCCGCGUGAGUGAAGAAAAGGUUUUUCGGAUCGUAAAACUCUGUUGUCAGAGAAGAACAAGUUGGAGAGUAACUGCUCCAGCCUUGACGGUAUCUGACCAGAAAGCCACGGCUAACUACGUGCCAGCAGCCGC
rnacentral:rRNA from 1 species